AGACAUUUUGCCUCCUGCUAUGGACUUCAGGUUCACAUUAGGGAACAGCAGAGGUCGAAGUGCAACAGGCUCGUGAUGCAUAGCAUGAAGUUAUACGUUGCCCACGAGCCAGAUGCAGUUGGAAUAACCAUCAAGUAAUAACCAUGUGUCUCCAUGUAUGUUAAUGUGUUGUGCUUUUAAACAAACUUG